AGUCUCAGAAGCAGUAUCUCUCUGACCUGUUCCUGCCUGCCUAUCUCCCACCCCUCGUUUCCUCACAAAGCAAGCCAUAGAGACUAGAAUUCCUCUUUCUCAACCUAAAAAAUACGUCUGUAACUUUCCCCUGCCUUUCUGUGUAAGAUCUGGCCAUCAAGACAUUUUUUGACCUACCUUCCCUCAUUCCAGGAAGGGUCCUGUCCUGUACCCGGGAGGAAGAAAUGCUACACAGAGAAGCCAAGAUGAAUCUGAACAGACAGCCUUUGUCAGUUCCACAGAUUCCAUAAAAGUUAACUCCAGAGCAGAGAAUGAUGCCACAGUCGGGAUAACAUCCAAUAUUUGCAAUCAGAAGAAAUAUGAGAGUCUUGCUCCAUCACCCAGGCUGCAGUGCAGUGGCACGAUCUUGGCUCACUGCAAGCUCCACCUCCCGGGUUCACGCCAUUCUCCUGCCUCAGCCUCCCAAGUAGCUGGGACUACAGGCGCCCACCACCACGCCCAGCUAAAUUUUUUUGUAUUUUUAGUAGAGAUGGGGUUUCACUGUGUUAGCCAGGAUGGUCUCGAUUUCCUGACCUCGUGAUCUGCCUGCCUCGGCCUCCCAAAGUGCUGGGAUUACAGGCGUGAGCCACUGUGCCCGGCCGUAAUUAUUCUUUUCGUGUUAAGCAAUGGUAAAAGAACUGACUGAAAAUAAGAAUAUUAAAAAGUUUCUCUGCUAAAAACA
rnacentral:lncRNA from 1 species